rnacentral:tRNA from 1 species
UCCGUUGUGGUCUAGGGGCUAGGAUUUGCCGCUCUCAGUCCUCACGAGAGUUUAUCUCACUUGAUACAAGUGCCGGCAAGGCCCGGGUUCGAUUCCCGGCGACGGAA